UUUAUGCACGUGGUAGGAGAGCGUUCUAGCGGCGGUGAAGCAUGACCGAGAGGACAUGUGGAGCUUCUAGAAGUGAGAAUGCCGGUAUGAGUAACGAAAGACAGGUGAGAAUCCUGUCCGCCGCAAGACUAAGGUUUCCUGGGGCAGGCUCGUCCGCCCAGGGUAAGUCGGGACCUAAGGCGAGGCCGAGAGGCGUAGUCGAUGGACAACAGGUUGAAAUUCCUGUACUGCACCGAAUCGUUAUGAGCGAUGGAGGGACGCAGGAGGCUAGCAGCGCGUGGUGCUGGAUACCACGUUCAAGCGUCAAGUCUGAGAGCGAGUCAAAUGCUUGCUCUCAUAAGGACAAGGCGUGAUGAGGAGCGAAAUUAAAGUAGCGAAGGCUGCGACGUCACACUGCCGAGAAAAGCUUCUAGCCAGAGACGGUGCACCCGUACCGCAAACCGACACAGGUAGUCGAGGAGAGUAUCCUCAGGUGAGCGAGAGAACUCUCGUUAAGGAACUCGGCAAAAUGGCCCCGUAACUUCGGGAGAAGGGGCGCUGGUCGCAAGAUCAGCCGCAGUGAAAAGGCCCAAGCAACUGUUUAUCAAAAACACAGGCAUCUGCAAAAUCGUAAGAUGAAGUAUAGGUGCUGACACCUGCCCGGUGCUGGAAGGUUAAGAGGAGAGCUUAGCGCAAGCGAAGGUUUGAAUUGAAGCCCCAGUAAACGGCGGCCGUAACUAUAACGGUCCUAAGGUAGCGAAAUUCCUUGUCGGGUAAGUUCCGACCUGCACGAAAGGUGUAAUGAUUUGGGCACUGUCUCAACGAGAGACUCGGUGAAAUUAUAAUACCCGUGAAGAUGCGGGUUACCCGCGACAGGACGGAAAGACCCCAUGGAGCUUUACUGCAGUUUAAUAUUGGGUAUCUGUCAAGCAUGUACAGGAUAGGUAGGAGCCGGAGAAGAUAGGACGCCAGUCUUAUCAGAGGCGCUGUUGGGAUACUACCCUUGCUUGACGGAUGCUCUAACUCAGGCCUGUGAUCCAGGCCGAGGACAGUGUUUGACGGGCAGUUUGACUGGGGCGGUCGCCUCCUAAAGUGUAACGGAGGCGCCCAAAGGUUCCCUCAGAAUGGUUGGAAAUCAUUCGCAGAGUGUAAAGGUAAAAGGGAGCUUGACUGCGAGAGAGACAACUCGAGCAGGUACGAAAGUAGGGCUUAGUGAUCUGGUGGUACCGUAUGGAAGGGCCAUCACUCAACGGAUAAAAGCUACCCUGGGGAUAACAGGCUUAUCUCCCCCAAGAGUUCACAUCGACGGGGAGGUUUGGCACCUCGAUGUCGGCUCGUCGCAUCCUGGGGCUGAAGUCGGUCCCAAGGGUUGGGCUGUUCGCCCAUUAAAGCGGCACGCGAGCUGGGUUCAGAACGUCGUGAGACAGUUCGGUCCCUAUCCGUCGUGGGCGUAGGAAAUUUGAGAGGAGCUGUCCUUAGUACGAGAGGACCGGGAUGGACGCACCGCUGGUGUACCAGUUGUCUUGCCAAAGGCAUCGCUGGGUAGCUAUGUGCGGACGGGAUAAGCGCUGAAAGCAUCUAAGUGCGAAGCCCCCCUCAAGAUGAGAUUUCCCAUUUCUUCAAGAAAGUAAGACACCUCAGAGACGAUGAGGUAGAUAGGCCGGGAGUGGAAGAGC
rnacentral:rRNA from 1 species